rnacentral:rRNA from 1 species
AGCGGAGGAACGAUGUGGUUUAAUUCGAUGAUACGCGAGGAACCUUACCCGGGCUUGAAUUGCAGAGGAAGGAUUUGGAGACAAUGACGCCCUUCGGGGUCUCUGUGAAGGUGCUGCAUGGUUGUCGUCAGCUCGUGCCGUGAGGUGUCGGCUUAAGUGCCAUAACGAGCGCAACCCCUCUCCUUAGUUGCCAUCAGGUUAAGCUGGGCACUCUGGGGACACUGCCACCGUAAGGUGUGA